CUCCUGUGCCUACUGAGCUGAUAACAGUACUACUGAAUGACUGGCUCAGUUCAGCAGGAACAGGAG
rnacentral:pre_miRNA from 8 species